rnacentral:rRNA from 1 species
UACGAAGGGUGCAAGCGUUGCUCGGAAUUAUUGGGCGUAAAGGGUAGGUAGGUGGUAAUAAAAGUCUGGGGUGAAAUCCCUGAGCUCAACUCAGGACGUGCCUUGGAAACUUUAUUACUAGAGUGCUGGAGAGGUUCGCAGAAUUCCCGGUGUAGCGGUGAAAUGCGUAGAGAUCGGAAAGAACACCAACGGCGAAAGCACUCUGCUGGGCCGACACUGACACUGAGAGACGAAAGCUAGGGGAGCGAAUGGG